GCCGUCUAGCUGAUAUGAAUGAAGGGAAUACAUUUAUCCAUGUUAAUGACGGUGUGUGGUAAUAUGGGGCAUGUUCUCAGCAUUUAGCUACACUUUCCCUUCUUGCCAUCUGCAUACUUUAUCCUUCAUUGCUGAUCUGAUCCUCCUAGCGCUGUAAUUAUGGGACACCAGAGAAAAAUGGAAAAUGUCAGGGAAUACAGAUAUUCCACAGACACCUGUCCCUUAUGUGUCACACGACAACCCCACAGACCAAGAACUUGUUAAUUGGCUGAGGGAACUUGGAGCUACUGACGAUGCAGUAAACCAGUUUGUGGAAGAAGAAUACACCCUGUAUAAUGUACUGCAUGAUAUCACCAAAGAUGAUCUGAAAUCACUCAGACUCAG